GCUGGGCUUGGUAGUGUGAGCCUGUAACCCAAAUGGGAGCAUUAAGAUGGUGGAAUAAUGGGCUUACCUUGAAGGCUGGGCUUGGGGUGUUAUCUACUGGCUUGCCCGUUCUAAGUGGUGAGUCCGGCUGUGCAGUCUCUGCGAAGGCAGAGGCUUCUCAGUUCUUAGAUCGGAGGGCACUGCGUCAGGCUGGUUUCACAGAGCAGCGAACACCUCCACCUCUCUGCAGUGGAAGGAUAACAGGUCGGAGCAUCUUCGGUCCAGUAGUGCCUGAUUAGUUGUCCAAAUCGAACCACCAUCUUU
rnacentral:SRP_RNA from 1 species